UACGUAGGUGGCAAGCGUUAUCCGGAUUUACUGGGUGUAAAGGGCGUGUAGGCGGGGACGCAAGUCAGAUGUGAAGACCACGGGCUCAACCUGUGGCCUGCAUUUGAAACUGUGUUUCUUGAGUACUGGAGAGGCAGACGGAAUUCCUAGUGUAGCGGUGAAAUGCGUAGAUAUUAGGAGGAACACCAGUGGCGAAGGCGGUCUGCUGGACAGCAACUGACGCUGAGGCGCGAAAGCGUGGGGAGCAAACAGG
rnacentral:rRNA from 1 species